UACAGAGGAUGCAAGCGUUAUCCGGAAUGAUUGGGCGUAAAGCGUCUGUAGGUGGCUUUUUAAGUCCGCCGUCAAAUCCCAGGGCUCAACUCUGGACAGGCGGUGGAAACUACCAAGCUGGAGUACGGUAGGGGCAGAGGGAAUUUCCAGUGAAGUGGUGAAAUGCGUAGAUAUUGGAAAGACCACCAAUGGCGAAGGCACUCUACUGGGCCACAACUGACACUGAGAGACGAAAGCUAGGGGAGCAAAUGGG
rnacentral:rRNA from 1 species